rnacentral:rRNA from 1 species
ACGUAGGGUGCGAGCGUUAUCCGGAAUUAUUGCGCGUAAAGAGCUCGUAGGAGGUUUGUCGCGUCUGUCGUGAAAGUCCGGGGCUUAACCCCGGAUCUGCGGUGGGUACGGGCAGACUAGAGUGCAGUGGGGGAGACUGGAAUUCCUGGUGUAGCGGUGGAAUGCGCAGAUAUCAGGAGGAACACCGAUGGCGAUGGCAGGUCUCUGGGCUGUAACUGACGCUGAGGAGCGAAAGCAUGGGGAGCGAACAG